GCCAAUGGGGGCAAGCCUGAUGCAGCAAUGCCGCGUGUGUGAAGAAGGCCUGCGGGUUGUAAAGCACUUUCAGUGGGGAAGAAAAGGUUGCGGUUAAUWACCCUGGGACUUGGCGGUACCCUACGAAARAACCCCGGCUUACUUCGUGCCCGCCACCCCGGUAAUUCCGAAGGGGCCAGCGUUUAUYGGAAUUUCUGGGGGUAAAGGGGGGGUAAGGCGCUUUGUUAAUUCGAAGUUAAAACCCCCGGGYUUAACCUGGGAAUUGCCUUUGAAACUGGCCGGGUUGAGUUUGAGAAAGGGAAAUGGAAUUUCCGGGGGAGCGGGGAAAAUGGUAAAUAUCCGGAAGAACCCCCGUGGGGAARGGGGCUUCCUGGAACAAAMCUGGCCCUUAAGGGCSAAAACCUGGGGAGCCAACCAGAUUAGAUUCCCCGGGUAUCCCCCCCCUAAACGAAUGCAACUAGAAGUUGGGGGCAUUUAACCCCUUAGUGUCGCAGCUAACGCGUUAAGUUGUCCGCCUGGGAAGUACGGCCCCAAGGUUAAAACUCAAA
rnacentral:rRNA from 1 species